rnacentral:rRNA from 1 species
UACAGAGGUCCCAAGCGUUGUUCGGAUUCACUGGGCGUAAAGGGUGCGUAGGCGGUUGGGUAAGUCUGACGUGAAAUCUCCGGGCCUAACCCGGAAACUGCGUUGGAUACUAUCCGGCUAGAGGAAUGGAGGGGAGACUGGAAUACUUGGUGUAGCAGUGAAAUGCGUAGAUAUCAAGUGGAACACCAGUGGCGAAGGCGGCUCACUGGCCCGGUACUGACGCUGAGGUGCGAAAGCGUGGGGAGCAAACAGG